CCAAAUUAUGCUGGAACAAUAGCAGAGACCGUCAUUAAUACAAGUACAUCAAUCGCCUUGAAUUAAACACAUUUGCGAAACCGCGUUGUGCUGCUCAAGGAAGGCCACAUCUCCAUAGCUUUUGCCACUGGCAUCUCCAACCAGGCACCUGCAAAACAGUGAGGGUAAUAUAAAGGGUCUCUUUACCCUGGCUCAGCGGUUGGUCCUCGGCCCAGGUUAGGUAGUUACGAGACAGCAGGAAGCCCAGUGGCAGACUCCAGCC